UACCUGCCACCCGCGCGUAAUACGUAGGUCGCAAGCGUUAUCCGGAACUAUUGGGCGUAAAGCGCGCGUAGGCCGUUUCUUACGCCUGAUGCGAAAGCCCACGGCUCAACCGUGGAGGGUCAUUGGAAACUGGGAAACUUGAGUGCAGAAGAGGAGAGAGGAAUUCCAUGUGUACCGGUGAAAUGCGCAGAGAUAUGGAGGAACACCACUGGCGAAGGCGGCUCUCUGGUCUGUAACUGACGCUGAUGUGAGAAAGCCUGGGGAUCAAACAGGAUUAGAUACCCUGGUAGUCCACGCCGUAAACGAUGAGUGAUAAGUGUUCAGGGGGUUUCCGCCCCUUAGUGCUGCAGCAUAACGCAUUAAGCAACUCCGCCUCGGGGAGUACGACCGCAAGGUUCAAAUACAAAGGAAUGGACGGGGACCCGCACAAGCGGUGGAGCAUAGUGGUUUAAUUCGAAGGAACGCGAAGAACCUUACCAAAUCUUGACAUCCUUUGACCCCUCGUAGAGAUAGAGUUUUCCCCUUCGGGGGACAAAGUGACAGGUGGUGCAUGGUUGUCGGCAGCUCGUGUCGGGAAAUGUUGGGUUAAGUCCUCGCAACGAGCGCAACCCAUAAGUUCAGUUGCCAUCAUUAAGUUGGGCACGUCUAGGUUCACUGCCGGUGACAAAAGCCCGAGGAAGGUCGGGAUGACGUCAAAUCAUCAUGCCCCUUAUGAUUUGGGCUACACACGUGCUACAAUGGAUAAUACAAAGGGCAGCGAAUGCCGCGAGGCCAAGCAAAUACCAUAAAAUUAUUCUCAGUUCGGAUUGUAGUCUGCAACUCGACUACAUGACAGCUGGAAUCGUCUAGUAAUCGUAUGAUCAGCAUGCUACGGUGCAAAUACGUUCCCGGGUCUUAGUACACACCGUUCCCGUCACUACCACGAGAGUUUGUAGCACCCGAAGCCGGUAGAGUUACCUUUUAGGAGCUAGCCGUCGAAAGUGGGAUAAAUGAUGGGGGUGAAGUCGUAACAACCUAGCCGUAUCGAAAGGUGCGGCUGGAACCCCUCCUU
rnacentral:rRNA from 2 species